ACAACCAUAAAGAAAAAGAUUGGUAAAUUCAAGUACAUUAAAAUUAAGACCCUCUGUUAAUCAAAAGAUACUAUUGGGGCUUCCCUGGUGGUGCAGUGGUUAAGAAUCUGCCUGCUCAAACACAGGUUUGAGCCCUGGUCUGGGAAGAUCCUACAUGCCGCGGAGCAACUAAGCCCGUGUGCCACAACUACUGAGCCUGUGCUCUAGAGCCUGCAAACCACAACUACUGAAGCCUAUGUGCCACAACUACUGAAGCCUGCGCGCCUACAGCCUGUGAUCCGCAACAAGAGAAGCCACUGCAAUGAGAAGGCCUCACACUGCAACGAAGAGUAGCCCCCACUCGCCACAACUAGAGAAAGCCCGUGCACAGCAAUGAAGACCCAACGCAGCCAAAAAAUAAAUAAGUCUAAAAAAAAAAAAAGAUACUAUUAAAGAGAGUGAAGGGGACUUCCCUGGUGGUCCAGUGGUUAAGAAUCCGCCUUCCAAUGCAGGGGAUGCAGGUUUGAUCCCUGGUCAGGGAACUAAGAUCCCACAUGCUGCAGGGCAACUAAGCCCACAUACCACAACUACAGAGCCUACGCACCACGCACCACAAGAGAGCAUGCACGCUGCAACUAGACAGAAGCCCGCACGCCACAACAAAAGAUCCCGUGUGCCUCAACUAAGACCCAACGCAGCCAAAAAUAAAUAUUUCCAAAAAAUAAAGAAAGAAGGCUGGAGAUAGCAUAGCUCUGACUUCCAAAGAUGAAAAAACAAAAAGGUGAAUGUUAAAAAAGAGAAUGAAAAGGCAAGUCACAAACUGGAAGAAGGUAUCUGCAACUCGUAUUCUGAAUUACAUCCAGAAUAUAUAAAGAACUUCUGUGAAUUAACAAGAAAAAUAAAUAACUCAAUAGAAAAAUGGGCAAAAAUUUUUUUCACAGAAGAGGAAGCACAAGUAAUUCCUAGAUAUAUGAAAUGAUGUUCAAUCUUGUUACAAAAACAGAAACUUGUAAAUUAAAAUCACUAUGUCAUCCCACAUCCAGGAGAAAAUUAAGGUUUGACAAUACCAAAUGCCAGUGAGGAAAUAGGACAAAGGACUGCAGGUGUGGGUGUGCAUGUAAAUUUGUACAACUUCUUUGGAAAACAGUUUGACAAUAUCUGGUAAAACUGAACACGUGCAUACCUUACACCCAUCAGUUCCACCUCUGAGUGUAACCCUACACAAGCCUGUGCUUAUGCACAGAAGUCACAUAUGAAAACAUACAUAGCAGCACUGUUUGAAAAAAACUAGAAACUAAAAUGUCUGUCAUUGGCAGAAUUAAUAAGAUGGGGGUGUUGGAUACACCCAGUGGAAUAUUAUAUAGCAAUGAAAAAUGAACGUAGCAUCCUACAAAUGCCUGACCACUCCUCACCAAAUUUUCAAGGAAAGUUAUCAAAAAAAAAAAAAAAGGAUACUCUGAAAAACUUUCACAGCCAAGAGGAACCUAAGGAGACAUGAUGAUGUCUAAAUGUAAUGUGCUACCCUGGAUGGAACCCUGGAACCAAAAAAGGACAUAAGCAGAGGGACCUCCAGGAGAGAAGAGCAAGAAGUCUUCAGAGUGAUACCACCAGUCCCCAGUUCCCCAGGAAAGAACUGGGAUCUCCAUUACCCUUGUGAUGGCGAUAAUGUUCCCAAUGGGGACCAUGCUGAACUCCUCACAGGAUCACUCAGUCUUCAGUCCAGAGGAGGAUGAGGGAGCCCAGAACGUGGAGGCUAACCACCUGGCCCCUGACCCACAGCACUAACAGAUUCCAAAGAAAAUGCCUCUCAAACCAAGAUUACUGCAGCUCUCCCUGCUGGCCCCUGGACUCAGGUCUGAGCUUCUAACUCCAAGAUGCUGACUCUACUGCCGGGCUACUACUUCUAAAACAUCAUUUUCAUCAUGGGCACAGGCAAUUUGAAGAAGAGGAAUAACAAUGGGCAGGAGGGGACCUUGGGCAAACAAAUUCAUCUUUCUGGAUCUGUUUCCCCAUCUACAUGCUUGUGAAGUUCCCCUCCCUGCUCUGUCAACUCUACAAAACUGGGAUUUCCCUGGUGGCACAGUGGUUAAGAAUCCGCCUGCCAAUGCAGGGGACACAGGUUCGAGCCCUGGUCCGGGAAGAUGCCACAUGCCGUGGAGCAACUAAGCCCAUGUGCCGCAACUACUGAGCCUGUAUGCCACAACUACUGAAGCCUGCAUGCCUAGAGCCCGUGCUCCACAAAGAGAAGCCACCGCAAUGAGAAGCCUGUGCACCACAACAAACAGUAGCCCCUGCUCGCCACAACUAGAGAAAGCCUGUGAACAGCAACGAAGACUCAA